UUGUCAAUAGAUAUCGCUUUCCUACCCCGUCCUCCAAGUUUGGAUGAAUGGACCAACCAGACCCUCAAGACUGCCAUGGGCAAGUCCCUUGACGGGUACCAGGAACGGUGGGAGAACAUCCUGAAGGUAAUUAUCUUUGAACACAACAACAGCGUCCAGGCCUCCAUCGAGUAUGGACGGGAGCCGCAGCUGUUGACUGAGGUAAACAAUGCAAUUGUAUAUACAAUUAUUCCAUAUACUGUCGUCUUUCAAAUUUGUGAUUGACUUAGUGUUGUUGUUUGUCUAUUGCUAUUUUUGUAUAACAUACUUUCAGAUCACUGAAACCCCACCUGCCUACUCCUCUCUACACUUGUGGCAGUUGUCGAACCAGAUCAGAACGCCUUCAAGGACCAUAUUCAGGCACAGACUGAGAAGGAUGUGGAGGUUUUUGACCAGGUGAGACUGAACAUCGACAAGGCGCAGGAGAAACAGAAGGAGAGCUACCGGAGGAGAAUCAAUAAGGGGACCAAGUGCUUCGACAUCCGGGCAAAUUACUUGGUUUGGAAGAAGGACGAAAGGAAGGCGAGACCUGGGGACCAGCUUGAGGACCUAGGGGUUCUGCCCAACACCCAGACGUGGAUCCACCUGAUGUCCUCCAUUACCAACCACCCUCCAACUUUUCAUUACAUCAUCUACAGCUACUGUUAUUGUCAUGUUAUUAUCUGCACUUUUUGGCUGUGGCCAUUAGUUGGCAUGACAGGCCCACAACCUCCCAAAACAAUGUCUGUUGGUCCUUACAAAAAAAGAUAGCAGUUUUGAAACUAAAAUGAAAGUGCAGUAAAUGCAGUCGACUGUGAUAUUUUGGACGCAGUAAAUUGCAGAAUAACUGCAG